rnacentral:misc_RNA from 1 species
ACACCUCAACUCUCAUGGCUUGCCAUGAUGAGCUUGGACUUUGGGGGUUUUGCUGGCCUACGGCCGGCUCCUCUCAAAUGAAUUAGCUUGCCAGUGUUUGGUGGCAUCACAGGUGUGAUAAAUAUCUACGCUUGUGGUUUUCCACCAGGUAACCUUCAGUGGAUGGAGGUUCGCUGGGGCUCAUAAAUGUCUCUCCUCAGUGAGGACAGCUCUUUGAAC